GACGGAGGGGGCUAGCGUUGUUCGGAAUUACUGGGCGUAAAGGGCGCGUAGGCGGAUUAGUAAGUUGGGAGUGAAAGCCCGGGGCUUAACCUCGGAACUGCUUUCAAAACUGCUAGUCUAGAGUGAAGUAGGGGGUGAUGGAAUUCCUAGUGUAGAGGUGAAAUUCUUAGAUAUUAGGAGGAACACCGGUGGCGAAGGCGAUCACCUGGACUUCAACUGACGCUGAGGCGCGAAAGCGUGGGGGAGCAAACAGG
rnacentral:rRNA from 1 species